rnacentral:rRNA from 1 species
UACAGAGACUGCAAGCGUUAUUCGGAUUCACUGGCGUAAAGGGUGCGCAGGCGGUCGGGUGUGUCAGAUGUGAAAUCCCGAGGCUCAACCUCGGAACUGCGUCUGAAACUACUCGACUAGAGUACUGGAGAGGGUAACGGAAUUCACGGUGUAGCAGUGAAAUGCGUAGAUAUCGUGAGGGAACACCAGAGGCGAAGGCGGUUACCUGGACAGUUACUGACGCUCAGGCACGAAAGCAUGGGGAGCAAAAGGG